CGGUCGCAUCAUGUUGGAACACCGGUUCCCGUAGGAUUACCGAUGUUAAGCAACGUCGAGCCUAGUCAGUACCUAGAUGGGUAACCGCUUGGGAAUAU